AUUUAGCCCCGAUUGCAACGGAAUCCCUUUUUGGCGUUGGCUUGAAAACGUUAGCAAAAAGAUAUAGCGGAAAGCGGGUUGGAAA
rnacentral:sRNA from 1 species